rnacentral:rRNA from 1 species
GGCCCGGCUGUUGUGGUCGGCCGCACAGGUCUGUACUCUUCGGGCCGGGCCUUUCCUUCUGGAGAACCGUCAUGCCAUUCACUUGGUGUUGCGGAGAUCCAGGACUUUUACCUUGAGAAAAUUAGAGUGUUUAAAGCAGGCUUUCAAGCUUGAACAUAUUAGCAUGGAAUAAUGAAAUAG